CGCGUAGGCGGGGGACCAAGUCCGGGGUGAAAUCUUUCGGCUCAACCGGAAAACUGCCUUGGAUACUGGUCUUCUUGAGGGAGGUAGGGGCAGGUGGAACUUCCGGUGGAGCGGUGAAAUGCGUUGAUAUCGGAAGGAACGCCGGUGGCGAAAGCGACCUGCUGGAUCUCUUCUGACGCUGAGGCGCGAAAGCUAGGGGAGCGAAAG
rnacentral:rRNA from 1 species